rnacentral:rRNA from 1 species
UAGUAACGGCGAGUGAAAAGGGAUGAGCCCAGCGCUGAAUCUCUCGGUCUAAGGCCGCUGAGAACUGUAGCGUAUAGGUUUGACUGUCUGUUUGCUAUGUAUUCUCCAAGUUCCUUUGAUAGGGGCUAGUUCAGUCCCGAGAGGGUGCUAGACCUGUGCGAGAAUUGUAGUGAGCAGUUGGUUGUUCCUUGGAGUCGUGUUGCUUGAAAGUGCAGCAUAAAGUAGGUGAUAGACUUCAUCUAAGGCUAAAUAUAACCAUGAAUUCGAUAGCUAACAAGUACCGCGAGGGAAAGUUGCAAAGAACUUUGAAGAGAGAGUUCAAGAGAACGUGAAAUCGCUGGAGUAUGCGGAGAGAGUUGACGUAACCCGGUAGCUAAGUUGUUCUUCGGAGCGAUGGUGCUGCUUAUGGUUGCAUUGGUGGCGUUGGUUAGCAACGACAGCUGCGUAGUUUAGCCCACUUCGGUGGUGUCUAGCUUGUGGUCUUGUUGUUGUCGGCUAGCGUGUAAGCCCUGU